rnacentral:rRNA from 1 species
UGGGGAAUAUUGCACAAUGGGCGCAAGCCUGAUGCAGCCAUGCCGCGUGUAUGAAGAAGGCCUUCGGGUUGUAAAGUACUUUCAGCGGGGAGGAAGGGAGUAAAGUUAAUACCUUUGCUCAUUGACGUUACCCGCAGAAGAAGCACCGGCUAACUCCGUUCCAGCAGCCGCGGUAAUACGGAGGGUGCAAGCGUUAAUCGGAAUUACUGGGCGUAAAGCGCACGCAGGCGGUCUGUCAAGUCGGAUGUGAAAUCCCCGGGCUCAACCUGGGAACUGCAUUCGAAACUGGCAGGCUAGAGUCUUGUAGAGGGGGGUAGAAUUCCAGGUGUAGCGGGGAAAUGCGUAGAGAUCUGGAGGAAUACCGGUGGCGAAGGCGGCCCCCUGGACAAAGAAUGAAGCUCAGGUGCGAAAGCGUGGGGAGCAAACAGG